GAUGAACGCUGGCGGCGUGCUUAAUACAUGCAAGUCGAACGGAGUAUGUAGCGAUAUAUACUUAGUGGCGAACGGGUGAGUAACGCGUUGGUGACCUGCCCCGAAGAGCGGGAUAACAGAUCGAAAGGUCUGCUAAUACCGCAUGAGCUCUCACGGGUUAGAGGGUGUGAGAGGAAAGGAGUGCGUCCGGAAGGACGCCCCGCUUUGGGAGGGGCCUGCGUCCCAUCAGCUAGUUGGCGGGGUAAAAGCCCACCAAGGCGAUGACGGGUAGGGGGCCUGAGAGGGUGACCCCCCACAAUGGAACUGAAACACGGUCCAUACACCUACGGGUGGCAGCAGUAGGGAAUAUUGGGGAAUGGGCGAAAGCCUGACCCAGCAACGCCGCGUGCGCGAAGAAGGCCUUCGGGUUGUAAAGCGCUUUUCUCAGGGAUGAGGAAGGACAGUACCUGAGGAAGAAGUCUCGGCUAACUACGUGCCAGCAGCCGCGGUAACACGUAGGAGACGAGCGUUAUCCGGAUUUACUGGGUGUAAAGCGCGUGUAGGCGGCGAGGUAAGUUGGAUGUGAAAGCUCCCGGCUUAACUGGGAGAGGUCGUUCAAGACUGCCUGGCUAGAGUGCAGCAGAGGGGAGUGGAAUUCCGAGUGUAGCGGUAAAAUGCAUAGAUAUUCGGAAGAACACCAGUGGCGAAGGCGGCUCUCUGGGCUGCAACUGACGCUCAGACGCGAAAGCUAGGGGAGCGAACGGGAUUAGAGACCCCGGUAGUCCUAGCCGUAAACGAUGUGAACUAGGCGUAGGCGGGUUGAAAUCCGUCUGUGCCGGAGCAAACGCGAUAAGUUCACCACCUGGGGACUACGGCCGCAAGGUUAAAACUCAAAGGAAUUGACGGGGGCCCGCACAAGCAGCGGAGCGUGUGGUUUAAUUCGAUGCUACACGAAGAACCUUACCAGGGUUUGACAUGCAAGUGGUAGUGAAGCGAAAGCGGAGCGACCCUUCGGGGAGCUUGCACAGGUGUUGCAUGGCUGUCGUCAGCUCGUGUCGUGAGAUGUUCGGUUAAGUCCGCUAACGAGCGCAACCCAUGCCGUGUGUUACAAGUGUCACACGGGACUGCCGGUCUUAAGCCGGAGGAAGGUGUGGAUGACGCCAAGUCAGCAUGACCUAUAUAUCCUGGGCUACACACACGCUACAAUGGCCGGUACAAUGGGUCGCGAAACCGCGAGGUGGAGCCAAUCCAGCAAAGCCGGUCUCAGUUCAGAUUGCAGUCUGCAACCCGACUGCAUGAAGACGGAGUUGCUAGUAACCGCAGGUCAAGCCAUACUGCGGUGAAUACGUUCCC
rnacentral:rRNA from 1 species